GAUGAACGCUGGCGGCGUGCCUAAUACAUGCAAGUCGAGCGAACAGACGAGGAGCUUGCUCCUCUGACGUUAGCGGCGGACGGGUGAGUAACACGUGGAUAACCUACCUAUAAGACUGGGAUAACUUCGGGAAACCGGAGCUAAUACCGGAUAAUAUAUUGAACCGCAUGGUUCAAUAGUGAAAGACGGUUUUGCUGUCACUUAUAGAUGGAUCCGCGCCGCAUUAGCUAGUUGGUAAGGUAACGGCUUACCAAGGCAACGAUGCGUAGCCGACCUGAAAGGGUGGUCGGCCACACUGGAACAGAGACACGGUCCAGACUCCUACGGGAGGCAGCAGUAGGGAAUCUUACGCAAUGGGCGAAAGCCUGACGGAGCAACGCGGCGUGAGUGAUGAAGGUCUUCGGAUCGUAAAACUCUGUUAUUAGGGAAGAACAAAUGUGUAAGUAACUAUGCACGUCUUGACGGUACCUAAUCAGAAAGCCACGGCUAACUACGUG
rnacentral:rRNA from 1 species